GACGAACGCUGGCGGCGUGCUUAGCACAUGCAAGUCGAACGGAAAGGCCCUGCUUUUGUGGGGUGCUCGAGUGGCGAACGGGUGAGUAACACGUGAGUAACCUGCCCUUGACUUUGGGAUAACUUCAGGAAACUGGGGCUAAUACCGGAUAGGAGCUCCUGCUGCAUGGUGGGGGUUGGAAAGUUUCGGCGGUUGGGGAUGGACUCGCGGCUUAUCAGCUUGUUGGUGGGGUAGUGGCUUACCAAGGCUUUGACGGGUAGCCGGCCUGAGAGGGUGACCGGCCACAUUGGGACUGAGAUACGGCGCAGACUCCUACGGGAGGCAGCAGUGGGGAAUAUUGCACAAUGGGCGGAAGCCUGAUGCAGCAACGCCGCGUGCGGGAUGACGGCCUUCGGGUUGUAAACCGCUUUCGCCUGUGACGAAGCGUGAGUGACGGUAAUGGGUAAAGAAGCACCGGCUAACUACGUG
rnacentral:rRNA from 1 species